rnacentral:rRNA from 1 species
UACGAAGGGGGCUAGCGUUGUUCGGAUUUACUGGGCGUAAAGCGCACGUAGGCGGCUUGUUAAGUCAGGGGUGAAAUCCUGGAGCUCAACUCCAGAACUGCCUUUGAUACUGGCAAUCUAGAGUCCGGAAGAGGUGAGUGGAACUCCUAGUGUAGAGGUGGAAUUCGUAGAUAUUAGGAAGAACACCAGUGGCGAAGGCGGCUCACUGGGCCGGUACUGACGCUGAGGUGCGAAAGCGUGGGGAGCAAACAGG